rnacentral:rRNA from 1 species
GAGGAGCUUGCUUCUUGGGUGGCGAGUGGCGAACGGGUGAGUAACGCAUCGGAACGUACCGAGUAAUGGGGGAUAACUGUCCGAAAGGACAGCUAAUACCGCAUACGCCCUGAGGGGGAAAGCGGGGGAUCUUAGGACCUCGCGUUAUUCGAGCGGCCGAUGUCUGAUUAGCUGGUUGGCGGGGUAAAGGCCCACCAAGGCGACGAUCAGUAGCGGGUCUGAGAGGAUGAUCCGCCACACUGGGACUGAGACACGGCCCAGACUCCUACGGGAGGCAGCAGUGGGGAAUCUUGGACAAUGGGCGCAAGCCUGAUCCAGCCAUGCCGCGUGUCUGAAGAAGGCCUUCGGGUUGUAAAGGACUUUUGUCAGGGAAGAAAAGGGGCAUGUUAAUACCGUGCUUCUGAUGACUUCUCCUGAAGAAU